rnacentral:ncRNA from 1 species
AAAAAAUGAGAUUUUCUUAAUGUUCUUAAGUAGAACAGCAAUUUCGGGACAUGGAUGUCCCGAAAAGUCCGCUAUGAGCCUGGAUGGCGAAUUGCGGAUGGUUGCGUCCGGGUAGACAGACUUCCUUAAGAAUAUUUAGAAAAUCCA